GGCCCUGUGGCCCAACGGAUAAGGCGUCUGACUACGGAUCAGAAGAUUCCAGGUUCAAAUCCUGGCAGGGUCG
rnacentral:tRNA from 1 species